AGAGUUUGAUCCUGGCUCAGGAUGAACGCUGGCGGCGUGCCUAACACAUGCAAGUCGAGCGAUUCUCUUCGGAGAAGAGCGGCGGACGGGUGAGUAACGCGUGGGUAACCUGCCUCAUACACAUGGAUAACAUACCGAAAGGUAUGCUAAUACAGGAUGAUAUAAGAGAUUCACAUGGAUUUCUUAUCAAAGCUCCGGCGGUAUGAGAUGGACCCGCGUCUGAUUAGCUAGUUGGUAAGGUAACAGCUUACCAAGGCGACGAUCAGUAGCCGACCUGAGAGGGUGAUCGGCCACAUUGGAACUGAGACACGGUCCAAACUCCUACGGGAGGCAGCAGUGGGGAAUAUUGCACAAUGGGCGAAAGCCUGAUGCAGCAACGCCGCGUGAGUGAUGAAGGCCUUCGGGUCGUAAAACUCUGUCCUCAAGGAAGAUAAUGACGGUACUUGAGGAGGAAGCCCCGGCUAACUACGUGCCAGCAGCCGCGGUAAUACGUAGGGGGCUAGCGUUAUCCGGAUUUACUGGGCGUAAAGGGUGCGUAGGUGGUUUCUUAAGUCAGGAGUGAAAGGCUACGGCUCAACCGUAGUAAGCUCUUGAAACUGGGGAACUUGAGUGCAGGAGAGGAAAGUGGAAUUCCUAGUGUAGCGGUGAAAUGCGUAGAGAUCUGGAGGAAUACCGGUGGCGAAGGCGGCCCCCUGGACAAAGACUGACGCUCAGUGCGAAAGCGUGGGGAGCAAACAGGAUUAGAUACCC
rnacentral:rRNA from 1 species